rnacentral:rRNA from 1 species
UACGGGGGGGGCAAGCGUUGUUCGGAAUUACUGGGCGUAAAGGGCUCGUAGGCGGCCAACUAAGUCGGACGUGAAAUCCCUCGGCUUAACCGGGGAACUGCGUCCGAUACUGGAUGGCUUGAGAUUGGGAGAGGGAUGCGGAAUUCCAGGUGUAGCGGUGAAAUGCGUAGAUAUCAAGAGGAACACCUGAGGUGAAGACGGGUUGCUGGGCCAACACUGACGCUGAGGCGCGAAAGCCAGGGGAGCAAACGGG